CCCUAAAAAGGCAGCCAAGAGCCCCAAGAAAGCGAAAGCUGUCAAGCCCAAGACCACAAAGCCUAAAGCGGCAAAGGCGAAGAAGGCAGCACCCAAAAAGAAGUCAGUCUCCCCGGCGCGCGCGCACAGACAUAUGUAGUCAAAUCGGAGGAGCGAGCCAUAAGAUCUGUUAUGACGUCACGUUCAGAGUUCUGCGGCGUUGUGCUGGAUGGAGCUUGACUGCCCUCGUGUGUCCAAACUCAGGAACGGCAGUUUCCCUCAAGGGGUAUUCUGUUCCAAGUUUUGUGGUAGUUAGCCAAGAAAUAUUACGAUUACUAUUACUCUCUCUCUCCCCCUUUUUAAACCCGUUCAUGAUAAUUAUUGUAUACAUUACCUUUAUUUUUGUAAUGUUCUUCCCUAUUUGUGGAUAUUCUCGAGUGAAAUAGACGAGGCCAUGUAGUUACCUAGGAGCAGAGUCUAAAAUAUCUUUUUGAAGAACCUCAAACUAUUAUCAUUUGCUAUACUAUUGAUCAUUACGUUACAUACAUCUUAUUCGUAUAUGGAAAGUACUUAAUGAAGAUAAUAUACUUUAGAUUUUUUUAUGUAACCAUUCAAGUAUUUGUUGAAAUGCUUUUGUUACUGAUAAAUACAUGUACAUUUAAAUUGAUUUUGUUCUGUCUGUGAUUUUGUAGAUCUGGAUGUUCAGCUGGUCUCAGAUCAAGCAUCCUCCUCUGUACUGACUCCACUAUCCCCAGCUUCAUCCUAUUCAUUAGAUUCCACAAUUGUCCUGGAGUCCACACGAAAGAGUAGGAACCCAACAGGGUUAAUGGAGCAGAAUGAAGCAAGACAGGUAAGCUUUGAAUAAAUGCAUUUAAAAUCCUCAAUUACGUAAUUGUUUAUUAUUGAUACUUAUCUGUAGAAGUGUUUUGUAAAUGUAUUCUCGACAUAAAGGAAAGGCAUUAAAAAUCCUCUUAAAUUUCCAUGAGCAUGUCAUAACGAUGUAAGAUGUUUUGACAGAAAGUUGAUUGUGUUCUGAGGGCCAAUCCAAAGGGUGAGGAAAUCUUCAAGGAGUAUGAAAAGACCAAAACACUAACAUGUCUGCAACCAGGACGUUCACCAUCUGUUUACGUGUGGCAUAUGUUAGAGCUACAUGGGUAAGAAUUGGAGGUCACUUCCCUCCCUUUAUCAUCACAACAGAUUCAUGUGGCACAGAUAAAGAAUGCUAUUCUGUGUUGCUAUAAAAGGAGAAUUUAUCCUUUAACUUCUUGCAAAACAUACACACUUGCAAAGUAAAUUGAUUUAUUUUGAAAGGAUGAUUCCAUCGUCAAGUGUGAAGACCAAUUAUGCACUGGGAAUUGUGACACUUUUUCCAUACCUCCAAGAUCCUUUCUCCAAACAUGGAUAUGAACACUACUAUGAUCCUUUAGGGUAAUACUGGCUUCAUUGCAUGCAGGAUCAAGACAGUUCAACAUAACACCUGUGCUAGCUCCCGGUGUUAUUCCAAGACUGUUCUUCAGGAUGGUCCAAAAAACAGACAAGAAUCUCUCUUAACUUGUCAACAGCUAUUUGGUGAGGAGUGCAGGGAGGCGAUAUCUACAAUACGACAUUUCAUUGAUGAGAAGAUGAGCGACUUUCCAGUAUUGACCGAAGAUGGUCGGUGAGGAUGCAUCAUCUUCAGUCCUGGAUUUGUUCACUUGUUUCCUUGCUGUAUCUGGAUUGGUAAGAAAAUAUUUAGCUUUGGAAAUAGUUUUGAAAAGGAAAUGACCUUCUCUGUAGUUAUUAAAGGAGUUCACUGGUACAGUAGAGAAAGGAGUUGUUCAGUGAUCACCAUAACAACAAC